AGAGGUGGCAAGCGUUGUUCGGAAUUACUGGGCGUAAAGGGCGCGCAGGCGGUUUGCCAAGUCUCGUGUGAAAUCCCCCGGCUCAACUGGGGAACUGCGCGGGAUACUAGUGGACUUGAGUUCGGGAGAGGAAAGCGGAAUUCCGGGUGUAGCGGUGAAAUGCGCAGAUAUCCGGAGGAACACCAGUGGCGAAGGCGGCUUUCUGGACCGACACUGACGCUGAGGCGCGAAAGCUAGGGGAGCGAACGGGGAUUAGAUACCCCGGUAGUCCUAGCCCUAAACGAUGAGCACUGGGUGUAGGGGGUAUGAACCCCCCCCCCCUGUGCCGAAGCUAACGCAUUAAGUGCUCCGCCUGGGGAGUACGGUCGCAAGGCUG
rnacentral:rRNA from 1 species